rnacentral:misc_RNA from 1 species
UAUUUUGGCAUCACAGAGCUAAUUCUUCGAGUGUGGAAAAAAUAGGAAAUUAUUUGUUUAAACCUGGGAUAUUAGGAUAAUUCAAUUAAAAUACAAAUGAAUGAAUAAUUGAGGGAAAUAUUUAUGCCUUUGCUGGCUUUGAAAUGAUGCAACAGCAAUAGGCGUGUAAGAGAGACAGUCAUGGAAAAAUUUCCUUUGAAGUCUACAACACCGAAAAUGAGCACAACAUAUCAGUCUGUCUACAAAAAGGGGUCGGGCGGCAGGAAUGGGGCCGGGCUGGGCGCGAGCGGCGCCGACGAGCUGGUAGAGAUCGCGGCGACGCGGCCGUCCCCCGGCGACAGCGCGCCCACCAGCCACGGCACGUUUCAACUGUACGAGCACGGCGGCCGCACCAACCACCCGGACAAUACGCCCAACUCUUGCAUUGCUCAAUAUUUUGGCGAAUCCACCGGGGACGCAGUUAUAUUUUCUGGAAUGCAGGUAGGCGAUGAUGACAUCCCUGGCAUCGGUCAGUAUGACGACUUCCACACCAUUGACUGGCAACGCGACAUCGCACGGGACCGCAUGCGCCACAGAUACAUAGUCAAGAAAAGACAAGACUCAAUAUGGGAUUUAAUAAAGGGUGCACACGACGCGUGGUCGGGCUGGGUGUGCGUGCUGCUGGUGGGCGUGUGCACGGGUGUGGUGGCCGGCGUCAUCGACAUCGGCGCCUCCUGGAUGACGGACCUCAAGUUCGGCAUCUGCCCGCAGGCCUUCUGGUUCAACCAGGAACAAUGCUGCUGGUCGGACAAUGAAACAACGUUUGAUCAUGGGAAUUGUUCACAGUGGGUGACAUGGCCCGAGUUACUAGGAGGCUCUCGCGAAGGCCCGGGCGCCUACAUCAUCAGUUACCUGUUCUACAUAGUGUGGUGCCUGAUAUUCGCGGCGCUCUCAGCUUCUCUUGUCCGCAUGUUCGCGCCUUACGCCUGUGGUUCUGGUAUUCCUGAAAUUAAGACGAUCCUCAGUGGUUUCAUCAUCAGAGGUUACCUCGGCAAGUGGACGCUCAUCAUUAAGGUCGUGGGCCUAAUAUUGUCCGUGUCUUCCGGACUGAGUCUCGGCAAGGAAGGGCCCAUGGUACACAUCGCGAGUUGCUUGGGUAACAUAUUGUCAUAUUUAUUCCCUAAAUAUGGCCGUAACGAGGCUAAGAAACGUGAGAUUCUAUCCGCCGCCGCUGCAGCCGGCGUGUCUGUCGCCUUUGGAGCGCCCAUUGGGGGAGUGCUCUUCAGUUUAGAAGAGGUGUCAUAUUAUUUCCCCCUGAAAACACUGUGGCGCUCGUUCUUCUGCGCGCUGAUAGCAGCUUUCAUCUUGCGCUCCAUCAAUCCCUUCGGCAACGAACAUUCGGUCCUCUUCUUCGUGGAGUACAAUAAGCCCUGGAUAUUCUUCGAGCUCAUACCAUUCGUUGGACUGGGGAUUAUAGGAGGGUGCAUCGCGACGAUAUUCAUAAAGGCGAACCUGUACUGGUGCCGCUACCGCAAGUACUCGAAGCUGGGCCAGUACCCGGUGACGGAGGUGCUGGUGGUGACGCUGGUGACGGCCGUCAUCGCGUACCCCAACCGCUACACGCGCAUGAACACCAGCCAGCUCAUCUACCUGCUCUUCAACCAGUGCGGCAUCUCCAACUCCGACCCCCUGUGCGACUACAACCGCAACUUCACGGAUGUGAACAAAGCCAUCGAGAAGGCGGCGGCGGGGCCGGGCGUGUACCAGGCCAUCUGGCUGCUGUUCCUGGCGCUGGUGGUGAAGCUGGUCAUGACGGUGUUCACCUUCGGCAUCAAGGUGCCCUGCGGCCUCUUCAUCCCCAGCCUCGCGCUCGGCGCCAUCGCCGGACGUAUCGUCGGAAUCGGUGUGGAGUACCUGGCGUACAAGUACUCGAAGAUCUGGCUUUUCUCGGGCGAGUGCUCGACGGGCGACGACUGCAUAACGCCCGGCCUGUACGCCAUGGUGGGCGCGGCCGCCGUGCUCGGCGGGGUCACCAGGAUGACAGUGUCGCUGGUGGUGAUAAUGUUCGAGCUGACGGGCGGCGUGCGGUACAUCGUGCCGCUGAUGGCGGCCGCGAUGGCGUCCAAGUGGGUGGGCGACGCGCUCGGCAAGCAGGGCAUCUACGACGCGCACAUCGCGCUCAACGGCUACCCUUUCCUCGACAGCAAGGACGAGUUCCAGCACACCUCGCUCGCCGCCGACGUCAUGCAGCCCAAGUAACACCACACACACACAUCAUUAAGGAUCUCCCCAAACCCAUCGACGUGGAAUUGACUUUCGACGACCAAGAAUCGCUCAUUAGUAUGAAUAUGCGUAUAAUAAAAGAAGUAACUGACUGACUGACAUAUCAACGCUCAGCUGAAACCGCUGGUCCUAGAGAUUCCAAAUUUGGCACGUAGGUUCCUUAUAAGGUGUAGAGAAGCACUAAGACAGGAUUUUUCAAAAUUCA